UACAGAGGUCUCAAGCGUUGUUCGGAUUCAUUGGGCGUAAAGGGUGCGUAGGCGGCGCGGUAAGUCGGGUGUGAAAUCUCGGGGCUUAACUCCGAAACUGCAUUCGACACUGCCGUGCUUGAGGACUGGAGAGGAGACUGGAAUUUACGGUGUAGCGGUGAAAUGCGUAGAUAUCGUAAGGAAGACCAGUGGCGAAGGCGGGUCUCUGGACAGUUCCUGACGCUGAGGCACGAAGGUCAGGGGAGCAAACGGG
rnacentral:rRNA from 1 species